rnacentral:rRNA from 1 species
AACGAACGCUGGCGGCAUGCCUAACACAUGCAAGUCGAACGAGACCUUCGGGUCUAGUGGCGCAAGGGUGCGUAACGCGUGGGAACCUGCCCUUAGGUUCGGAAUAACUCCCCGAGAGGGGUGCUAAUACCGGAUAAUGUCUUCGGACCAAAGAUUUAUCGCCUUUGGAUGGGCCCGCGUUGGAUUAGCUAGUUGGUAGGGUAAAAGCCUACCAAGGCGACGAUCCAUAGCUGGUCUGAGAGGAUGAUCAGCCACACUGGGACUGAGACACGGCCCAGACUCCUACGGGGGGCAGCAGUGGGGAAUAUUGGACAAUGGGCGAAAGCCUGAUCCAGCAAGGCCGCGUGAGUGAUGAAGGCCUUAGGGUUGUAAAGCUCUUUUACCCGGGAUGAUAAUGACAGUACCGGGAGAAUAAGCUCCGGCUAACUCCGU